rnacentral:rRNA from 1 species
AGUGAACGCUGGCGGUAGGCCUAACACAUGCAAGUCGAACGGCAGCACAGUAAGAGCUUGCUCUUACGGGUGGCGAGUGGCGGACGGGUGAGGAGUACAUCGGAAUCUACUUUUUCGUGGGGGAUAGCGUAGGGAAACUUACGCUAAUACCGCAUACGACCUACGGGUGAAAGCAGGGGAUCUUCGGACCUUGCGCGAUUGAAUGAGCCGAUGUCGGAUUAGCUAGUUGGCGGGGUAAAGGCCCACCAAGGCGACGAUCCGUAGCUGGUCUGAGAGGAUGAUCAGCCACACUGGAACUGAGACACGGUCCAGACUCCUACGGGAGGCAGCAGUGGGGAAUAUUGGACAAUGGGCGCAAGCCUGAUCCAGCCAUACCGCGUGGGUGAAGAAGGCCUUCGGGUUGUAAAGCCCUUUUGUUGGGAAAGAAAAGCAGCAGGUUAAUACCCCGCUGUUCUGACGGUACCCAAAGAAUAAGCACCGGCUAACUUCGU